rnacentral:lncRNA from 1 species
CUUCUCUCAAAUAACUUCAUUCUUAAUCUUAUCUAACCUGGUGAGCCCGCACAUCCACCUGAGCAUCCUCAUCUCCGCAACCUUCAUUCUCUGAACAUAAGAGUUCUUCACUGGCCAGUACUCCGCCCCAUACAACAUGGCAGGUCUAACCACAGCUCUGUAAAAUUUCCCUUUGAGUUUCUGUGGAACUUUCUUGUCACACAGGACUCCUGAUGCAAGCCUCN